UAGGGAAUCUUCCACAAUGGACGAAAGUCUGAUGGAGCAACGCCGCGUGAGUGAAGAAGGGUUUCGGCUCGUAAAACUCUGUUGUUAAAGAAGAACAUAUAUGAGAGUAACUGUUCAGGUAUUGACGGUAUUUAACCAGAAAGCCACGGCUAACUACGUGCCAG
rnacentral:rRNA from 1 species